rnacentral:rRNA from 1 species
AAAGCGCGAUGAGGGGAUCCCAAGUGCUUGCUCUUAGGAGUAAGCUUUUUUCUUGUUUAAAAAGCAGGAAGAGGAAGGGCUGGGUAAGACGGGUGCCAGCCGCCGCGGUAAUACCUGCAGCUCAAGUGGUGACCGCUAUUAUUGGGCCUAAAACGUCCGUAGCCGGUUGAGUAAAUGCUUGGGUAAAUCGUGCCGCUUAACGGUACGAAUUCCGGGUAGACUGCUUAGCUUGAGACCGGGAGAAGCUAGAGGUACUCCUGGGGUAGAGGUGAAAUUCUGUAAUCCUGGGGGGACCACCAGUGGCGAAGGCGUCUAGCUAGAACGGGUCUGACGGUGAGGGACGAAACCCUGGGGCGCGAACCGGAUUAGAUACCCGGG